rnacentral:rRNA from 1 species
CGGAGGGAUCAUUACCGAGUUUACAACUCCCAAACCCCUGUGAACAUACCUUAAUGUUGCCUCGGCGGAUCAGCCCGCGCCCCGUAAAACGGGACGGCCCGCCAGAGGACCCAAACUCUAAUGUUUCUUAUUGUAACUUCUGAGUAAAACAAACAAAUAAAUCAAAACUUUCAACAACGGAUCUCUUGGUUCUGGCAUCGAUGAAGAACGCAGCAAAAUGCGAUAAGUAAUGUGAAUUGCAGAAUUCAGUGAAUCAUCGAAUCUUUGAACGCACAUUGCGCCCGCUGGUAUUCCGGCGGGCAUGCCUGUUCGAGCGUCAUUUCAACCCUCAAGCCCCCGGGUUUGGUGUUGGGGAUCGGCUCUGCCUUCUGGCGGUGCCGCCCCCGAAAUACAUUGGCGGUCUCGCUGCAGCCUCCAUUGCGUAGUAGCUAACACCUCGCAACUGGAACGCGGCGCGGCCAUGCCGUAAAACCCCAACUUCUGAAUGUUGACCUCGGAUCAGGUAGGAAUACCCGCUGAACUUAAGCAUAUCAAUAAGCGGAGGAAAAGAAACCAACAGGGAUUGCCCUAGUAACGGCGAGUGAAGCGGCAACAGCUCAAAUUUGAAAUCUGGCUUUCGGGCCCGAGUUGUAAUUUGUAGAGGAUACUUUUGAUGCGGUGCCUUCCGAGUUCCCUGGAACGGGACGCCAUAGAGGGUGAGAGCCCCGUCUGGUUGGAUGCCAAAUCUCUGUAAAGUUCCUUCGACGAGUCGAGUAGUUUGGGAAUGCUGCUCUAAAUGGGAGGUAUAUGUCUUCU